rnacentral:lncRNA from 1 species
UUUUAUUUUAUUUUUUGUAUUAGUAAUUAUAUUUUCAAAAAUCAAGAAAUUAAUAGUCUUGUAAUAAGAUGGUAAACUAAAUUACUUAUGUAAUGCAAAAAAGGGCCAAUCAAUUCUUGUUAUUCAUAUAAAUAGAACAACUUUUUUGCAGUGAGUUUGUGAAUUUGAGUAAAAAAUUACUUAAUGAUCUAUUUGAUUCCUAACCAACACUUAUUAAUGUGGUAUAAAAUUCGACACCACCUUCAGUAGGUCUUGCUUUGACUUUGUUAACAUAGUUAUUUAUAUACGUAUACACAAUAAAAUACUUCAAGAAGUGGGAGAAUUGCCUCCCCUGACUCACUGCAACAACGUAUGAUCUAUUAACUUAUCAGAAAAUUAUAUACUAUCAUGCAUGUUAUUCAACCAUCUUGUAUGGGAAAGGAUUUGUAUAGGCACUGCCUUUUGUCCAAUCCCUUUGUUUAAAUGUACAUUUGAUAUUUGAACAAUAAAAUAUUUUGAAUUGAAUUGAAUACAUAAUGUCAAAAUAAAUUUAUGUAUAAAGUUUAGUUAUAACUGCACAAUUUGUUUUUAUUGAAUUUUUUUUGUUUGCAUUAAUUUGUUCUGUUACUCAGUCAUGUCGAAAACUGUAACAACGAGGGACGAAAAAUACCAGAGGGACAGUCAAACUCAUAAUUCGAAAAUAAACUGACAACGCCUUGGCUAAAAAUGAAAAAGACAAACAAGCAACCAAUAGUACACAUGACACAACAUAGAAAAC